rnacentral:ncRNA from 1 species
UUUUGAUAAAGGCAAACUAUUUCGAAAGGAUAGGACGCAAAGUCAUGGGUCUAAAGCUAACGCAUUGCAAAGACCGCCAGACUACCAAG